rnacentral:tRNA from 1 species
AUAAAUGUAAGAAUUUAUCUUACAGAUAGUACUUGCAACUUAAUGAUUUUUUAUUUGAAGUAUUAAGAGG